rnacentral:rRNA from 1 species
UGGGGAAUAUUGGACAAUGGGCGCAAGCCUGAUCCAGCAAUGCCGCGUGUGUGAUGAAGGCCUUAGGGUUGUAAAGCACUUUCACCGGAGAAGAUAAUGACGGUAUCCGGAGAAGAAGCCCCGGCUAACUUCGUGCCAGCAGCCGCGGUAAUACGAAGGGGGCUAGCGUCGUUCGGAAUUACUGGGCGUAAAGCGCACGUAGGCGGGUCGAUCAGUCAGGGGUGAAAACCCAGAGCUCAACUCUGGAACUGCCUUUGAUACUGUCGGUCUAGAGUAUGGAAGAGGUGAGUGGAAUUCCGAGUGUAGAGGUGAAAUUCGUAGAUAUUCGGAGGAACACCAGUGGCGAAAGCGGCUCACUGGUCCAUUACUGACGCUGAGGUGCGAAAGCGUGGGGAGCAAACAGG